rnacentral:rRNA from 1 species
GAUCCUGGCUUAGGAUGAACGCUGGCGGCGUAGCUUAACACAUGCAAGUCGAACGAAGCAUUUAAAUGAAGUUUCGGAUGGAAUUAAAUGACUUAGUGGCGGACGGGUGAGUAACGCGUGGGUAACCUGCCUCAUACAGGGGGAUAACAGCUGGAAACGGCUGCUAAGACCGCAUAAGCCUACAGCAUCGCAUGAUGCAGUAGGAAAUAUUUAUAGGUAUGAGAUGGACCCGCGUCUGAUUAGCUAGUUGGUGAGGUAACGGCCCACCAAGGCGACGAUCAGUAGCCGACUUGAGAGAGUGAUCGGCCACAUUGGGACUGAGACACGGCCCAAACUCCUACGGGAGGCAGCAGUGGGGAAUAUUGCACAAUGGGGGAAACCCUGAUGCAGCCGACGCCGCGUGAGUGAAGAAGUAUUUCGGUAUGUAAAGCUCUAUCAGCAAGGAAGAUAAUGACGGUACUUGACUACGAAGCCCCGGCUAACUACGUGCCAGCCGCAGC